AGCAGUGGGGAAUAUUGCGCAAUGGGGGAAACCCUGACGCAGCAAUGCCGCGUGAGUGAGGAAGGCCUUCGGGUUGUAAAGCUCUGUCAGAUGGGAAGAACAGCAGUUGGUCCAAUAGGCCUCUGUUUGACGGUACCUUCAAAGGAAGCACCGGCUAACUUCGUGCCAGCAGCCGCGGUAAUACGAAGGGUGCAAGCGUUGUUCGGAUUUACUGGGCGUAAAGCGCGCGCAGGCGGAUUGAUAAGUCAGAUGUGAAAUCUCGGGGCUCAACCCCGAAACUGCGUCUGAAACUGUUGAUCUAGAGUUAUGUAGGGGAGAAGGGAAUUUCGCAUGUAGGGGUUAAAUCCGUAGAGAUGCGAAGGAACACCAGAGCCGAAGGGGCUUCUCUGGGCAUACACUGACGCUGAGGCGCGAAAGCGUGGGUAGCGGCAUUUUGCCU
rnacentral:rRNA from 1 species